rnacentral:rRNA from 1 species
CCUACGGGCGGCAGCAGUGGGGAAUAUUGGUCAAUGGGGGGAACCCUGAUCCAGCGACGCCGCGUGAGUGAAGAAUUAUUUCGGUGUGUAAAGCUCUAUCAGCAGGGGAGAAAAUGACGGUACCUGUCUAAGAAGCCCCGGCUAACUACGUGCCAGCAGCCGCGGUAAUACGUAGGGGGCAAGCGUGAUCCGGAUUUACUGGGUGUAAAGGGAGCGUAGACGGUGCAGCAAGUCUGAUGUGAAAGUUUGGGGCCCAACCGCGGGACUGCAUUGGAAACUGGUGAACUGGAGUACAGGAGAGGUAAGCGGAAUUCGUAGUGUAGCGGUGAAAUGCGUAGGUAUUAUGAGGAACACCAGUGGCGAAGGCGGCUUACUGGACUGUAACUGACGUUGAGGCUCGAAAGCGUGGGGAGCAAACAGGAUUAGAUACCCCUGUAGUC